rnacentral:rRNA from 1 species
GACGAACGCUGGCGGCGUGCCUAAUACAUGCAAGUAGAACGCUGAAGAGAGGAGCUUGCUCUUCUUGGAUGAGUUGCGAACGGGUGAGUAAUGCGUAGGUAACCUGCCUUGUAGCGGGGGAUAACUAUUGGAAACGAUAGCUAAUACCGCAUAACAAUGGAUGACACAUGUCAUUUAUUUGAAAGGGGCAAUUGCUCCACUACAAGAUGGACCUGCGUUGUAUUAGCUAGUAGGUGAGGUAACGGCUCACCUAGGCGACGAUACAUAGCCGACCUGAGAGGGUGAUCGGCCACACUGGGACUGAGACACGGCCCAGACUCCUACGGGAGGCAGCAGUAGGGAAUCUUCGGCAAUGGGGGCAACCCUGACCGAGCAACGCCGCGUGAGUGAAGAAGGUUUUCGGAUCGUAAAGCUCUGUUGUAAGUCAAGAACGAGUGUGAGAGUGGAAAGUUCACACUGUGACGGUAGCUUACCAGAAAGGGACGGCUAACUACGUG